rnacentral:rRNA from 1 species
AGAGUUUGAUCAUGGCUCAGAGCGAACGCUGGCGGCAUGCUUAACACAUGCAAGUCGCACGGGCGGGGGCAACUCCGUCAGUGGCGGACGGGUGAGUAACGCGUAGGUAUCUAUCCUUAGGUGGGGGACAACUGUGGGAAACUACGGCUAAUACCGCAUGAUGACCGAGGUCCAAAGGCGCAAGUCGCCCGGGGAGGAGCCUGCGUACGAUUAGCUUGUUGGUGGGGUAAAGGCCUACCAAGGCGACGAUCGUUAGCUGGUCUGAGAGGAUGAUCAGCCACAUUGGGACUGAGACACGGCCCAAACUCCUACGGGAGGCAGCAGUGGGGAAUAUUGGACAAUGGGCGAAAGCCUGAUCCAGCAAUGCCGCGUGUGUGAAGAAGGUCUUCGGAUUGUAAAGCACUUUCGACGGGGACGAUGAUGACGGUACCCGUAGAAGAAGCCCCGGCUAACUUCGUGCCAGCAGCCGCGGUAAUACGAAGGGGGCUAGCGUUGCUCGGAAUGACUGGGCGUAAAGGGCGCGUAGGCGGAUGGCACAGUCAGAUGUGAAAUUCCCGGGCUUAACCUGGGGGCUGCAUUUGAUACGUGUUGUCUAGAGUGAGGAAGAGGGUCGUGGAAUUCCCAGUGUAGAGGUGAAAUUCGUAGAUAUUGGGAAGAACACCGGUGGCGAAGGCGGCGACCUGGUCCUUUACUGACGCUGAGGCGCGAAAGCGUGGGGAGCAAACAGGAUUAGAUACCCUGGUAGUCCACGCUGUAAACGAUGUGUGCUGGAUGUUGGGCGACCUAGUCGCUCAGUGUCGUAGCUAACGCGAUAAGCACAC